UACGAAGGGAGCUAGCGUUGUUCGGAAUCACUGGGCGUAAAGCGCGCGUAGGCGGCUUUUCAAGUCAGGGAUGAAAUCCCACAGCUUAACUGUGGAACUGCCUUUGAAACUGUAAAGCUGGAAUGCAAGAGGGGAUAGCGGAAUUCCUAAUGUAGAGGUGAAAUUCGUAGAUAUUAGGAAGAACACCAGUGGCGAAGGCGGCUCACUGGCCCGGUACUGACGCUGAGGCGCGAAAGCGUGGGGAGCGAACAGG
rnacentral:rRNA from 1 species